rnacentral:rRNA from 1 species
CCUGCACCUGCCGGCGACCGGCGCACGGGUGAGUAACACGUAUGGAACCUGCCCGCCACAGGGGGAUAACCCGGGGAAACCCGGCCUAAUACCCCAUGCCGUCCGGACCGGGCAUCCGGUCCGGGCGAAAGGAGGAAUCCGGUGGCGGCUGGGCAUGCGGCGCAUUAGCUUGACGGCGGGGUAACGGCCCACCGUGGCGACGAUGCGUAGGGGUUCUGAGAGGAAGGCCCCCCACACUGGAACUGAGACACGGUCCAGACUCCUACGGGAGGCAGCAG